GCAAACCAAUAGCGGCAGCUUGGCCCGCAACGGAAAUUGCAGCAGCUCCCAAACCUGCAGCCACUACCAAACCUGGUAUGUGCAGUUAAACAAGAGUAUAGAAAAGCAGGUGUACUCCAGUCCUCAAUCCAGUUUUGCAAUCUGUCAACAAAAUUCACGUUUUCGCAUGACAUGGAGUUUCAGGUGCACACCUUGGACUGACUAGAAUCUCCAAAUUGAA